GCAGAGAUAAAAACACGGCCCGGUUGGUAGUCCGGGCGCGGCGGGCUGAGCCUGCCGUCAGUAACCUGCCUCCUUGGUUGUCCGUUCUCUGU
rnacentral:ncRNA from 1 species